rnacentral:rRNA from 1 species
AAGAGCUUGCUCUUACGGGUGGCGAGUGGCGGACGGGUGAGGAAUACAUCGGAAUCUACUUUUUCGUGGGGGAUAACGUAGGGAAACUUACGCUAAUACCGCAUACGACCUACGGGUGAAAGCAGGGGAUCUUCGGACCUUGCGCGAUUGAAUGAGCCGAUGUCGGAUUAGCUAGUUGGCGGGGUAAAGGCCCACCAAGGCGACGAUCCGUAGCUGGUCUGAGAGGAUGAUCAGCCACACUGGAACUGAGACACGGUCCAGACUCCUACGGGAGGCAGCAGUGGGGAAUAUUGGACAAUGGGCGCAAGCCUGAUCCAGCCAUACCGCGUGGGUGAAGAAGGCCUUCGGGUUGUAAAGCCCUUUUGUUGGGAAAGAAAUCCAGCUGGUUAAUACCUGGUUGGGAUGACGGUACCCAAAGAAUAAGCACCGGCUAACUUCGUGCCAGCAGCCGCGGUAAUACGAAGGGUGCAAGCGUUACUCGGAAUUACUGGGCGUAAAGCGUGCGUAGGUGGUCGUUUAAGUCUGUUGUGAAAGCCCUGGGCUCAACCUGGGAACUGCAGUGGAAACUGGACGACUAGAGUGUGGUAGAGGGUAGCGGAAUUCCUGGUGUAGCAGUGAAAUGCGUAGAGAUCAGGAGGAACAUCCAUGGCGAAGGCAGCUACCUGGACCAACACGGACACUGAGGCACGAAAGCGUGGGGAGCAAACAGGA